GCAACACCUCAAGUGCCAACUAAGUAAAGAAUCUUCCCUCAGAAAAUUCAUAAACGAUUAAUGCUAAGCAUUUCACCGAAAUGAGAAAAAUCUGAAUAAGAGAAAAUGUUUACUCAAACGCUGCUAAUGCAGAGGUCAAUUUACGGUUCUGGUUAUCGAAUUAUCGUACGAUAUGCUCGUUUUUUGGGUUGAUGGUACUCGAUUGUUUUCGUAUCGAUUUCGCGCUCGUUACAAUUCUAACGGAGUAUUUGUGAUAUCGUCAGUGUAUAUAUAAUAAAAUAAUGCACAGAAAAGAAAAAAAGCAUAAAAAAAGGAUCUAGUCAUAUUAUUGUUAUGACUGCGCACACGUCUGCAUAGAGCAGCGACUGCGGAUGAAAGUCAUGCGAAUGUCCAUAGAGGAAUAAGAGAAUAACAGUAACCAUCUUUACUUGCCACCGAGAGGCAAGCGAGAAAAAAAUCUACAUCGAAAAUCAGAAUAACAACUUUAAAAAGAUUGAUGAAUAAUUUAGGAACCAUGUAAAAUUAAUUUUAUUACAUUGAAUUAAGUGAGCAGUUCCUUUUUAAAGUGGUAUGCUAGCUCGCGUGCGUCUUAAGAGAUGAAAAGAAAAAACUCGUGCCGUUUCAUCCAAAGAAGUAAUCAUAUCUAAUGAACUUAGGAAAGCUAGAGAAAUGUAGAGAACUCAAAACGAAAAUUUUACGACGCUAUGCAGGUUGUGGGAAAAUUCCGUAGCGCCGAAACAGUAAGAUUUUGUUGCAGUAGGGCAGUGUGAGCUGCGUAUUGAACUUGGUUAAUGUAUUGCACCACUGUCGCGAUGCAAAAUGUAAAUGCAAUCAUUGUAUUCAGCGCUUUCGUUCCGAAUUGUUGAUCCCAUAUCGUUAUCAACAAUUUGACACCACAAGUCUAAAAGAAAAACAUGAUAGUGCGAUUUUAUCUUCCAAUAUUUGAAUGUUUAGUGAUAUUGGAUAAAAUUUAUGUUAAAGUGGUAUUUCAUUUUCAGAAGGUUUGAAGACAUACCCCAUUUAAUAUAGUCUCCCACUUGUCUGUCCGUAUAAAUUCUGAUCAUGUAUUCUUGCAUUCCAGCUACAGGUCGCAAUUUUUGAGGUUUUUUUGAUGAAAUGUGAUACACUGACGUGUUUUGAUUCAACAAUGAACACUGUUGGAAACGGUUCGCAUCGGUCCCCUUUUUUGACCACUCCCCGUAUUUUGAAAAGUCGCAAUAAUUCUUGCUAUGUAAUAGCACUUCGACAUUCCAAAUUGGUAUGAAAAAUUUGGUUCCGCUGAGGCAAUUUUUUGAAC